GCAUGGGAAGUAUGGAUAGGCAGACUAACACCACUGUUGAGAAGUGUAUAAUACACUGUUUUCUUCCAGAUCCCCCCAAGAACACCUCAGUGUCAGUCAGUCCCUCUAGCUCAGUAGCAGAGGGCAGCUCUGUGACUCUGACUUGCAGCAGCAAUGCCAACCCACCAGUGAAUAACUACACCUGGUACAGAGUUGAGGGAUGGGAGAAGGACAUUGUAGGGUCUGAAGAGAACCUCAACAUCUUCAAUGUAACCAGGCUUUCAAAUGAACAGUACUACUGUGAGGCUCAGAAUGUCCAUGGACUGCAGAACUCUGAGGCCAUCAAUAUCGAUGUGACAUUUGCUUCAGAGAUCCAGAACACCUCUCGCUGCAUCAGGAUUUCAGCUACAUCUCAGAUCAGAUGUUUCUGUGAUAGCUUUGGAAACCCUGCUCCCACAGUGGUGUGGCAAUUGGCUGGGGAGUCUGUCAAUCACUCCACUAACACCAUCAUCAGGGAGGAACCAAUGGGCUUAGCAGGCCUGAGGAGCUCCCUCACCAUCCGCCAAUCACAGGAAGAGGAAAUACCGAGUCUGGUCUGCCUCAGCUCCAACAUUGAUGGUUUUGACAGCUUCUCAUUUAACUUAACAUCAAUGGAAACAUAUGAAGGUUUCCACCUAAUCUCUCUGUUGAUCGGGGCUGGUGUGGGGGCAGGGGUGAUGAUGCUCCUAUGUACCCCACUGCUUCUCAUCUGCAAGAGAGCCAGGCAAUCACCAAACAAAAGACAGAAGGACACAGCAGAGUUCAUAGUGACUGAUGAGGCCCUCUUUCAGGAGGAGGACAAUGUCUAUGCCAAUAAAGCCAUGCUGGAUGAGGCCCUCGGGCCCAACAGGACAGUGGACAGGGAAAUUGAUGACACAGACCUACUCCACUACGCCAACUUGAACUUCUCCAAACUCCAGGCCAAGGUGGCCAAGCAGGGUGAGGGGGAGGGAGAGAUCAGGGGAGUCGCCUCCAAAACGGCAGAGUACGCAGUGAUCCGUCUGCACUCCACAGGUAGUAUCGAGGGAGGGGCUGGGAAGAAGGAGGCCAAUCCUGCUCUGGAGCAGGGGGAUCACGCUGAAGACCAUGGAGCUAAAGUCUUAGAAGAAACUCAGGCAGGGCACAAGAGUGAUGGGGAAGAAGAAGUUGCAAAGGAUUCUGCACUGCCAGAGCUACAGGGCAUGACUAAUUCUGCCCUCAGUGUCCAGGAGUCUACAAAGGCUCCACUGGGACAAUCUGAGCAGCACAACACAGCAGAAACCAUUGUGGAUGAGGUGACACUGCUUUCUGAGUAG
rnacentral:lncRNA from 1 species